rnacentral:rRNA from 1 species
GAUGAACGCUGGCGGCGUGCCUAAUACAUGCAAGUCGAGCGAACCAAAGAGAGCUUGCUCUCUGAGGUUAGCGGCGGACGGGUGAGUAACACGUGGGUAACCUGCCUGUAAGACGGGGAUAACUUCGGGAAACCGAAGCUAAUACCGGAUGAUAAAGAGAAACGCCUGUUUCUUUUUUGAAAGUCGGCCUUGUGCUGACGCUUACAGAUGGGCCCGCGGCGCAUUAGCUAGUUGGUGAGGUAACGGCUCACCAAGGCGACGAUGCGUAGCCGACCUGAGAGGGUGAUCGGCCACACUGGGACUGAGACACGGCCCAGACUCCUACGGGAGGCAGCAGUAGGGAAUCUUCGGCAAUGGACGAAAGUCUGACCGAGCAACGCCGCGUGAGCGAUGAAGGCCUUCGGGUCGUAAAGCUCUGUUGUCAGAGAAGAACAAGUACCGGAGUAACUGCCGGUACCUUGACGGUACCUGACCAGAAAGCCACGGCUAACUACGUGCCAGCAGCCGCCGUAA